rfam:Helicobacter cinaedi CCTG 18818 = ATCC BAA-847 DNA, complete genome.
UAGGCAUAGUAGGUGGUUGCUUUUGUUUAACAAAAGAGGAAAGUCCGAGCUACAAAGACAGGAUUCCAUUUAACAAAUGGCUAAGGUAACUUAAGGGAAAGUGCAACAGAAAACAACCGCUUUUGCAAGAAAGUAAGGGUGAAAAGGUGGGGUAAGAGCCUACCGAUUUUGCAGCAAUGCAAAAUGUCAAUGCAAACCCAAUCCGUAGCAAGAAGAGUAUGGUUAUCGUCUUACACUUCAAACUCUUCGCUUGAGACAUAUUGUGAAAUAUGCCCUAGAUAAAUAGCCACCCACGACAGAACUCGGCUUAUCGCUAUGCCUAGUUU